UACGGAGGAGGCAAGCGUUAUCCGGAAUUAUUGGGCGUAAAGCGUCCGCAGGGGGCGCAUCAAGUCUGCUGUUAAAGGCUGGAGCUUAACUCCGGUAGAGCAGUGGAAACUGGUGCGCUAGAGGGCGACAGGGGUAGAGGGAAUUCCCAGUGUAGCGGUGAAAUGCGUAGAGAUUGGGAAGAACACCGGUGGCGAAAGCGCUCUACUGGGUCGCACCUGACCCUCAGGGACGAAAGCUAAGGUAGCGAAAGGG
rnacentral:rRNA from 1 species